rnacentral:lncRNA from 1 species
UUGGCUUGUUCAAAUCUCUGUCCAAGCUAUCUCCUGGAUUUUCAAGGGGAAUGUGGGGCUCUAGAAG